AUUGAACGCUGGCAGCAGGCUUAACACAUGCAAGUCGAGCGGGGGAAGGUAGCUUGCUACCGGACCUAGCGGCGGACGGGUGAGUAAUGCUUAGGAAUCUGCCUAUUAGUGGGGGACAACAUCUCGAAAGGGAUGCUAAUACCGCAUACGUCCUACGGGAGAAAGCAGGGGAUCUUCGGACCUUGCGCUAAUAGAUGAGCCUAAGUCGGAUAGCUAGUUGGUGGGGUAAAGGCCUACCAAGGCGACGAUCUGUAGCGGGUCUGAGAGGAUGAUCCGCCACACUGGGACUGAGACACGGCCCAGACUCCUACGGGAGGCAGCAGUGGGGAAUAUUGGACAAUGGGGGGAACCCUGCUCCAGCCAUGCCGCGUGUGUGAAGAAGGCCUUAUGGUUGUAAAGCACUUUAAGCGAGGAGGAGGCUACUUUAGUUAAUACCUAGAGAUAGUGGACGUUACUCGCAGAAUAAGCACCGGCUAACUCUGUGCCAGCAGCCGCCGUAA
rnacentral:rRNA from 1 species